rnacentral:lncRNA from 1 species
GGAAACUCUUGAAAGCUUGGCCAUUUUAAAACUCAAAGGAAGUGUACCUCCAACAGUGAGACUCAGGCUGUGUGACAGAUGGUAGAAAGAAAUAUUUACACGAAGGCUGUGGCUGGGAGGGCAGACACGCUCACUGUUGCCGUAGGUGAACUUGUGUUGCUGCCUGUUGGACACGCAGGCACAACGUGGCGAAGCCUCCAUGAGUCCUGACGUGUCUUCCUCACAGCAAACAGCCGCCACCUUUAGUUACUCCUUGGGGACCACGAUUUUUCUCAGCCAGCCUCCUUCACGAUCUCCUCCAAAGUGCGCUUGGCUCUCCCGGGAGAAUCGCAGCUGAGAAUGACAGCUGGACAGUUGCACCCGGCUCACCAGCUUCGCACACAGCUUGCUUUCAAGGAAGUGGGGCAGCAAACUGGCAGACCCCCGGAAAGACUCAGUUUCCCCACCUUGACUGCAUUUAGGGGUGGCUGUGCGACUGAGUUCUGGCCAAUGAAGUGUGAGUGGGAGAGGCCACUCACUAGUUAGAAACGAGUCAACAUCACUGGGUACAAGGGCACUUAACAUGAGUCUUACGUUCCUCACCUGGAAGUUGAGAGGGUUGCCCUGGCUAAUCCUCAAGGACCCGGCCAGCCAGAGGUCUGAAGCCAGGAGAAACGUGGUGCGGGUUAAGGUUGUGGCGCCAGCUUCCACACGGUUCGUGUGCACAGUGAAGCCCAUGAGAAGUGUUCUGUUUGGAGAAGCAGCUCUGACAACUGGGGGCAAUGCAGUCAUCCGCAAAGGAAGCAGCCUUCGAAAGUGCUCCCAGCCUGUUGUCCCAAGAGGAAGGAAGGCGUGAGCUCGUUUCUGAGGGCAGAUCCGCCCUGAAGGAGCACUAACUAAUUUUCCCUUUGCCCCAGUUCCUUGAACUCGUUCUCUCUCUUUAUUGUGCAUAUUUUUCUAAACACCUCAAAUCCUUUUAUGGAAUAAAGUUAGGAUAUAAAUGUGUUCAUUUUUAAAAAAAUCCUGAAAAGUGAGUUGCUUCAAACUACCAUAGAACUACCAUAUGACCUAGCGAUGCCACUUCUGGGCAUACACGCCAAAGAAUUGAAAGCAGAGACUCGAACAGAUUUUGGUACACCCAUGUUCAAAGCAGCAUCAUUCACGAUGGCCAAAAUGUGGAAACAACCCAAGCGUCCAUCAACAGAUGAAUGAUAAACAAAAUGUGAUACACACACUGUAGUAUACUAUUCAGACGUAAAAAGGAAUGAAAUUUUGAAACAUGCUAAAACUUGGAAGGACCUUGAAAACAUUAUGCCAGCAAUAAGCCAGACACAGAAGGGGAAAUAUUGUAUGAUUCCAUUCAUAGGAGGUACCAAGAAUAGGCCAAUUCAUAGAGACAGAAAGUGGAAUAGAGGUUACCAGGGGCUGGGGGAAGGGAGAAGAAGGGGUUAUCAUUUAACAGACAGAGAGUUUUUGUUGGAGAUGAUGAAAAAGUUUUGCGUGUAGAUAGUGACGAUGGUUACAUAACUUUGGGAAUGUGUUUAAUGCCACUGAAUUGUACACUUAUGAAGGGUUAAAAUGAUAAAUAUUGUGUUAUAUAUAUUUUACCACAAUAAAAAUAGUUUUUUAUGGUGAAAAAGUUAUAUUUGGAAUUGGUCAGCUGGACUCAGUUCAGAGGAUCCCAGCUCUGUUGGCAACAUCCAGAGCAUCAGAGUCAGGCCAGUGGCACGUAUACCUUCUCUCCGUCCGGCCGGAUUGGGGUGUGGACCUUGGCCGCGUCAACGUCAUGGAGCGUCUUCACAGCCUGUUCGAUCAGCGUUUCUGGGACUUGACAUCUACAGUGAGCACAGAAUUGGUUCACGUGAUUAUGAAGCCUUGCAAGUCCAAAAUCUGCAAAGCAGGCCAGCAGGCUGGAGACCCAGAGAGGAGCCAAUGCUGCAGUUCAAGACCAAAGGCCAUCUGCUGCAGAAUUCCCCCUCACUUGCAGGAGGUGUGGCUGCACCAGAAGUUCCAGCAGAGAAGUCUGAUGUCCUGCACCUGUACACAGCAUUGCUUUGAAUGUGAGCACAGCAGGUGCAGCCUCUACAGGCGUGUUGUGUGGGAAACUCAAAAAACACAAGUGGAGUUGCUGUGGGUGGUGUGACUUUCCAAAAUAGUGAAUACUGUAAAAUUUGGCAUAAGACAAAGUACAAUUCUCCCUCUGUUUACAUGGUAGUUGCAUUCCUGGGAGUGGGGUGGGAAAUCUGGGCAUAUGAAACUAUGAAAAAAACACAUUGUGUUUAUGUGUAAAGUGGAGUUAGGUUUCAAGGCUCAAAACACUAUAGAUUGUUUUCUCCAUAG